CUCUUCCUUCUCCUCCUGCCGGUGCCUGGGACUCCGCUCCGACCCUCCUGACCCCGGUGCCAAGUGCAGCAAAUCCCCAGUGAAACUCCGGGCACCUUCCCGAAACUUCCUCCCCUCCCCCUGUAGGAGCCGCACUGUUUUUUUCAGAGAACACUGCAAAUGGCAAAAUUCAUACAAAAAAAUACAAUUUUAUUAUCAUGAUUUGUCUCCCAUUGUCGGCGAAGGAUGAGGUUAUCGACACUUGUGCUCAAAAGAAGAUUCCUUAUCUGCAUAUUUGGAAGCUGCCCCUAAAGAGACUAACAGAACAGCACCCCCUGGUGGUUAUGAACACAUGACACGGAGAAUGUCUCGGCUUAUGCACCCCCCACUUGUUUGUAUCAAUAGGAAAAAAAGGCAGAAAAGGCCACAAUAACACCCUCACGUUUUACCAUCUAUUUUUGAAAACUGAAUGGAAGAUACUACCUGUGCACAUUGAUAAAAUAAAUCAAGCCCUUUGUAAGAUCAGUGCGUAGAUUCAUCCCCUCAUUACUAUGAAUGACCACCUCGUUACAUAUUCUAUUAAAA